UCAAAGCACCAACGACGAACGUAAAGAUUGAUAUUGGCCUUGAACAACCGGCUGACCUCAUUUAAAAACUACACAAUGAAAAUCCACUUAAAUCUCAAAUGAUUUAUAAUAUUAAAAAGAAAACAUCUUUGAUUUCACGUUUUCUGAUGUUUUUUUGUUUAUACGAUUGAAGCCAACAAAUCAUGAAAAUAUGCCAGAGUAAAUAUUCCAAAUCAAAUAAGCACAUACUUGAGUAUGUAUGUAUUGCACUACUACAUGCACACGGCAGCAAUAAAAGCAACCAAGCAUUUUCAUACGGAAAGAAUUUCAUCCAAGCGGGCUAUUUAUAAAACCCACAAGUGGAAGAUUACAACAAAGUCAUGAAAGCUUCAGAUAGUGAAGCAAUGCCAUGUCCGACAUAGACCUAUGUACAUACAUACAUACAGGCAUACGAACAUAAAGCGCGGUCGAUGUGAGCAAAUUUAUUUUUUUAAUUUCAAGUGAUUAACAAAUAAUCGAUAUUAUUUGAAAAUCAAGCAAAGUUAGGCGAUGCUGAAGUGUCUUCAAACGCUCAAAUCUCCGUCAAGUAGCAUUGGUAUUAUGUUUGUGUUUGUACUCUGUUGUACUUUUGCAGUACUCGAAUUUGUGUGCCUAUUUCUAAAAAUAUUUAUUUAGGUUUUGAUUGUAGAAUAAUAGAACUGAAGAACACUUGCGACCUGGUGGUGUGUAUUGUAAAUAAAUAUAUGUAUUACCUGCAAAUAAAAAGUAUAUAUAAAUACGUACAUAUUAUGUGUGUUUGUGUACAUACAUAGGUUUAAAGAUUUACCAGGAUAGCAGGCAAUCUUUCAAUGGCACAAGCGCACUGUAUAAAAGCUCUUAGUGCUUUGCCAGUUUUAUUUGAUUAUACUAGUCCCGUCACUUUGAUUUAUAGAAAGUAUUGUUUGAACUUAUUUCUACGAGUAUGCAUCUGUACAGUUCAAAAUUAUAACAUCAUAGACUUUUCUAAUGUAUUUCGUACAAGAAGGCUUCUCAACUUCUAAGCUGGCUGCUAGCUGGCUCUAUAAAAGAAAGGCAGGCACCGUGCCUGGUCAGUGCUUAGGUGACACUCGCGCCUUGAUGUGUUGUGAUGUGAAAGUCGCAAGGUAACAUCACUGUAAGCUGGCUGCCAGCUGGCUCUAUAAGAGAAAGGCAGGCACCGUGCCUGGUCAGUGCUUAGGUGACACUCGCGCCUUGAUGUGUUGUGAUGAGAAAGUCGCAAGGUAACAUCACUGUAAGCUGGCUGUCAGCUGGCUCUAUAAAAGAAAGGCAGUCUCCGUGCCUUGCCAGUGCUUAGGUGACACUCGCGCCUUGAUGUGUUGUGAUGUGAAAGUCGCAAGGUGACAUCACUAUAAGCAACUUUUUGGAGCGGGUAAAGUACCAUUGAUGGUAUUAGAACAGUAUGCAUGUAAUCGAGCGCAUUAGUGUUAACUACUCGAUUAGCUUGUUUUUAAGCAAUUGUAUUUUCAAUUAAAAUGAAAACAUACAUACAUACAUAUGUAUGGAAAAUCGUAAUAUAAUUUUGAUUUGUUGAAGAAGGCGCUGCUUUUAGUAGUCAGUUUCAUCUGGCGACUUCUAGAACGAUAAAUAGCUAAAGCAGAUGUCAGAGUGCAUUGUACAUUCAUAAGAAGUGGGAUACCAAGCAGUACGAUAUUAUAAAAUUUAGAGAUAAUAUUAUAGAUUAGCUCCUGGAUGAACUGUCUACAGAACCGCAAGCACCCAGAAGAACUAUACAUUUUUC